rnacentral:rRNA from 1 species
AAGUCGGUUGUGAAAGCCUUCCGCUCAACGGAAGAACGGCAUCCGAUACUGCAUGGCCUGAGUGUGGGAGGGGAGAGUGGAACUUCUGGUGGAGCGGUGAAAUGCGUAGAUAUCAGAAGGAACACCGGCGGCGAAGGCGACUCUCUGGUCCAUAACUGACGCUGAGUGUGCGAAAGCUAGGGGAGCAAACGGGAUUAGAUACCCCGGUAGUCCUAGCCGUAAACGAU